rnacentral:lncRNA from 1 species
UCCGCCGCCGGCGACGAAGGAGCAUAAACCCACCGUCGCUUCCGGCGAAGAUUUCCGUCUAGCACCGCCGAAGCUGGGCGUGAUCUUCGUGAUCUCUUCGAUUCUCUGCUCGCUCUACCUCUACCUUCUCUGUUUCCACUACAAUGUCGAUAAUGAGCUGAAGCGUCCGAUCCUCAUCAACGCUGGGCUUAGCUUGGUGGGGUUCUUCGUCACGCUCAAGUUGAUUCCGGUGGCUGCUAGAUAUGUUCUGAGGCGUAACAUGUUUGGGUUUGAUAUCAAUAAACGAGGCACUCCUCAAGGUGAAGUUAAAGUGUAAGUCUUUACUUCUUUUAAAUUUGUCUUCUUUAGUUGGUACUAGUGUUCAAUCGUUUUCUUGAAUUGGAUGUCUCUUUAGAUUUGAUUUUGUUUGGGGUUGAAAUGAAUGUUUUAUCGAAGUUUAAGAUUUGAUUUGAUCUAUGUGGCAUUUUACUUCUGCUUGUGUGGUGGGAUUAAAGAGCUUUGGUGUGGUGAGUUUCACCAUUUCUCACUUUGUGUUCAUCUGAUCUUUUUGUAGGCCUGAGUCGUUGGGAAUCGUUGUGGGUAUUGUCUUCUUGAUUGUGGCGAUAAUCUUCCAGUUCUUUAACUUCACUGAAGAUUCAUUAGUAAGUGUGCUUGUUCUCAUAAGCUACAAGCUUGCUUUUUAAUAUCUUUUAGCUCAGUAAAGGGUCAACGAUUAGGCCAAGCUCAUGUAAAAUGUAAUAUUUUGUUGUUGGACGGAUGUGAACUAUGAAGUUAGUACCUCUUGGCUCAUUUAGUGCUUUGAAGACACAUUUUGUAACAAUCUGGCUUAAUGACUCUAUGUUGCAGUGGCUUGUGGAGUACAAUGCAGCACUAGCGUCUAUUUGCUUCAUGAUAUUGCUUGGGUUUGUAGAUGACGUCCUUGAUGUGCCUUGGAGAGUGUAGGUGCACUUCUUUAUUUUGUUUGAUUUAACUUUAUAUGUGAACUUUGUUUCAGAUAUUAGUUUUUGUUAAAAUUUGCAGGAAACUUCUCCUGCCAUCUUUUGCAACCCUUCCACUCCUGAUGGCUUACGCUGGACAUACAACUAUCGUCAUACCAAAACCUCUUGUUUCUUAUGUUGGCUUGGAGAUACUUGAUCUAGGUACAAUUCUUCCUUUUUAUAUACUUAGUAUUAUAUUGUGCAGAAACUAAUAUUCAAAGUGAUUUUGCUUAAUUGUAUUGUUAUUGUGGCAGGACGGAUAUAUAAGUUAUAUAUGGCGCUACUGGCUGUCUUCUGCACUAAUUCUAUAAACAUUCACGCUGGUCUGAAUGGCCUUGAGAUCGGACAAACCGUAGUUAUUGCAGCUGCUGUAAGUUCUGCAGUCAAUAUUCUUCAUUAUUUGGUUUCUCUUAAGUGAAGAUAAUGAUGCGUCUCAGUUACUUGUAGAUCUUGAUACACAACGUUAUGCAAAUCGGAGCAUCCGUGGAUUCUGAGCUUCGUCAAGCUCAUGCCUUCUCUAUAUAUCUCACUCAGCCAUUGAUGGCAACAUCCUUGGCUAUGCUUGCUUUCAACUGGUAUUACUUUCAAGUCUUUUCUCUGGAAUACUUAAAAAGUGGAUGCUUACUCUAACCACAUUCAUGUUGUUUAGGUACCCUUCUGCAGUUUUUGUUGGAGACACUUACACAGUCUUUGCUGGAAUGACUAUGGCAGUUGUUGGCAUUCUGGGUCACUUCAGGUGUCUACUUAGUUUCAUCAUUUGCGGUUUUGUAUCUAAUUAAAGUGUGAAGCUUGCAACUAACUAACUAACUAACUCCAUCUUCUGAAACUUCUCCCUUCCAGUGAAACCCUCCUAAUCUUUUUCCUUCCUCAAGUGUUGAACUUUCUGUUGUCACUUCCGCAGGUUUCAUCUCUUUUCUCCCUCUCACACUUUCUUUUACUUAUCAGUUGCUUUGUUAAUCAUCUAACUAGCUAUUUGUGUAACUCUUUAGCUUGCUGGCAUUGUGAAAUGUCCACGGCAUCGUCUCCCCAAGUAAGUUUAUUCUUUCCCCUCUUACAUAAAAGCAGAGCCGACAACGGAUGAGUACGUGACUCGUCCUCUCUCUCUCUCUUUUUUGAACCAGGUUUGAUCCUGCUACGGGAUUACUAACGGGAACAAGAGAUGGGACGCUCGUCAACGUCUACUUGAGGAUUUUUGGUAGGAAGUCAGAAAAGUCUCUGUGUAUUCAUCUUCUUGUUUUCCAGGUAAGCUUCUUAAUGCCCACUCACAGUACAAGUUGGCUUGUUGUUUACUUGUGAGAGAGAGAUUACAAAAUUGGUUUUUGUGUUUAUGUUGCAGGCACUAGCUUGCGCCUUCUGUUUCCUGCUUCGGCAUUUUCUUGCUGGUUGGUACAAAUAAAUCUCUGCAACAUGAAGAAUCUUUUAAACGGCUCCUCGUUUUAUCUCUUCCUUCAAGAAUCACACAUACAGAACUUAGUUUUGUUUUCAUAUCCAUUAGCAAAGAUAGUUUCCAUCCUUAAAACGCGAUCAGUGCUAGUGAAUCUCAAAAAUAUAAGUAUGUUGGUAUUUUGUUACAUUUUCAUCUUAUUGUAGAGAGAAUGAACCAGAUUGAAGCCAAUAGGUGAAUCAAAAACCAUUUAUCAUGGAAUGUUUAUAAUUGCAUAAAAAAUUAUAUAUAAUAUGUAUGUGUAGUCACUUACUAAUAAGCUAGAAUGAUAUAUGUAUUAUCAGCCAUUUAGUGAAGUGGUAUAUAAAUUUAGUUGAGAUAUUUUAUGGAAUUUUCCCUACUAAUGAUAUAAUCAUCAUUCAAAGUUCUGUCAUUUAUCCUUGUAGCCACAUAAAGUUCUUUUGGGGUCGAUUUCAGUUCUGGAAUAGCAUUUUAUUGCAUCUCUAGCCCUUACUUCUAUAAGGAUAUUAUUUUGAAUUAUUAUUACUAUUACCAUUAUUUUAUUAGUUGAAAUUAACAUUAUACUUAGGCUGUUGAUUAGGAAGAAACAUACCCCAGAACUUCUCAAGCUCAGGGGGACCCUUCUGAUUCUCAUCAAACAUAGCGAAUAUAUAAGUCUCUAUAGCUUUCCCUGGCUUUCUCGGAGUUCCACUCUUCACAUGUUGUAUCAAAUUAUUAACAUAAGUCAUUGCAUUCUCCACGCUAGUCCCUGCUCCUCCCUCCGUUGGCCAACCGCUCUCAGACACCACGAUUUCCAACGAUCCUCCCCCUGAUUUCUCCAAUGCUGCAUAGACCGCGUCAAGUUGGGCGUCGAAGAGGUUAUGGUAAGUGUACUGCCCGUCAAUGACUGGAGGGGUCGGUUUGAACAGAGCGUACGCUAGAGGGAUGUCUUUCAUGUCAUCCUUGUAGCUGAAGUAAGGGUAGCUAUUCAAGAGCAGAGGAGAUUGCUUGCUUACCAAGAAACCUAUCACCGGUUGGAGAAAGGUGAUAUAGUCAUCUCUGAAUCUUCCGUGAGACGGAGGGUACGUGUCCAUGGUGGCUCCCAUGUCUAUAGCCGUCGACACCUUGAUCCCAAGGCCUGCUCUAGAAACCGCGUUAUCGAUGUUUUUCAUGGCCUGGAAGAGAGCCCUCGCAGCUGGCUCCGAGGGUUCCACCUCGUUUCCGACCGUGAUGUACCUGAAUCUGACACCCUCGUAGUUCUUGACGUUGUUGCAGAUCCACGUGUCGGCCUCGGCUUGGCUGGAGGCGAUGCGUUCGAGGUCUGAUUUAGGAACGUCGAGGAUGAGCUCGAUGUUGGAGUUGCGGAGAGCGUUGAGAGUGUCAUGGUCGGGGUCGUAGAUUCGCAUCCUCUGGAUGUUGCGGUGCUUGUAAAGAGCCACCACAUCUGAUGGACUUGGCCGGGGAUUGCCUAACCUUCCAUAGCAUACUCCGAUUUGUGCAGCUAUAUAUAUCAUUAGUAAUAGAAUUGCAUCAAAUAAUGUAAUAUCAAUAUGGUCAUACGAUAUGAUUAAUGGGUGUUACAUAAGGUUAAAAGAUGAUUAUACACGUGGUGUCGGAAAAGGAAGCCAUUAGAAGGCUGAGAAGAAUCAGCAACAUUGGUGAUGCAGGUAUCUAUUACAUUUUUUCCAUAUAGUUGAAUUACGCCAUGUGGUAAUACUAUAUAUGUUAUGCUGUGUGUAUUUAGGAUUCUGGUAUGGAGUGGAUAAUUCAUCUUGACACCGACGAGCUUAUUUAUCCUUCUGGAACCUCCUAUGAGUAUUCUUUAAGGAAAUUGCUUGGAAAUAUCUCUGCAGACGUUGACGCAGUUAUCUUUCCAAACUAUGUGAGUCUUACGGAGUGGACGAUUUUUCAUCUUUAUACUGAAUAUAAUGCCUUCUUGAUUCUGGAUUUUCAUCAGCAUUGUCUUCUUGUUUCAGGAGAGCAGCGUUGAGCGAGAUGAUAUCAAAGAACCUUUCAGUGAGGUAUCAAUGUUCAAGAAGAACUAUGACCAUCUUCCGAGGGAUGUUUACUUUGGAAACUAUAAAGAAGCCACUCGUGGAAAUCCAAACUAUUUCUUAACCUAUGGAAAUGGAAAAGCUGCAGCUCGUGUUCAGAACCAUCUUCGUCCCAAUGGUGCUCAUAGAUGGCACAACUACAGGAAGAGUCCAAAGUAUGCUCUUCUCUCGUUGGGCUCUUAGACCACUUCUUGGUCUAUCAUUCUAGAGUUGUUUAUUCAAUAGAAACUUCUUUUGCAUGCUUUUUUGCUUCGUAAUGACACAUUGACUUGCCUGAGCCUGUUAAUUUCAACUGUGGCAUCAUUUUUGACAGAGAGAUCAAACUAGAAGAAUCGGCCAUUCUGCACUACACUUAUCCCAAGUUUUCAGAUCUUACUUCAAGACGUGAUCGUUGUGGUUGCAAGCCUACUAAGGUGGAUGUUAAGAGAUGUUUCAUGUUGGAGUUUGACAGAGCUGUGAGUGGGGGAUUGAUUCCUUUUUUUCUUGUUUACUGUUGUGAAGCAUACAAGUCACAGUCAUCAUUUUUGUGUAGGCAUUUAUCAUUGCUUCAACCGCAAGCUCAGAGGAAAUGCUUCAAUGGUAUAUCGAUUUUAAUAAUCCACUACUCUUGAUUCAUCUUUCCGAUGGUGCAUUCUAACAAGCUACAUUAUAUACAGGUACAGAGAGCACGUUGUGUGGACAGACGACACAUUGAAGUUGAAACUCCUUAGGAAGGGAAUUCUAACUCGCAUUUAUGCCCCCAUGGUAAGAAGUAACCACAAACCUAAACCUUGUGCUUAAUGCUUGGUUUUCCACAAGCUGCAUUCAUCUUUUUUUUUUGUCACAGGUUAUAAUCCAAGAGUUAAGAGAGGCAGGUGUGUUCAGCUCCGUGGUAAACUCAGCUCACAUGUCUCUGAACAACUCUUCAACCGUAAGCAUAAGCCGAGAAUCAUCUCAGGUUACUGGUAGGAGGAGGGUAUUGGAAGCUCAUCUUGAUCUUGACAGUGAAUCUAUAGCAUCAGCCAUACCACCACAAUCACCUCCAGGCUUGGAACCAUUAUCUGAGUAGCUUUUUUUCAUAAAGAUGAGGGAGGACCUUAGAAUGAUAUUCACAGGUUUUGAACAUGAGCUCUGGUGUACAUUUCGGAAAAGUUUUUUCCUUUAUAGGUUAUACACAGACACAGAUGAAUAGAAUGUUAGCAGGCUUCUAUCCUAUGUAAUAUCCAGAACAUUUGACCAUGUUGAUUAUAUUACUUCAAAUACAAAGUCAUCGCCUUUCUGAUCCAACUGGUUCUCUUCUGGGUUAUGUUGUUUCUGACACAGUUUGUGUCUUAUGGGUUCUGAGUUACUCAGCUAAUGUUUGAGCAGGAGCACCAACUUUAAAAGAAGGGAAUUUGACAAGGGCCGUUGCUUAUUUGGUUAGGACUUUAAUGUUAAAAAGAACUAAAUUAUGGGCGUUUUUAGCAAUUCUGAUUUCUUGUGGGGUGAAAUUGAAAACUUUGUUAUACUCUUGAUACGGUGUCGUAUCGUCAUCUCCAGCUUGAGCUUGUGACGCGUGCGGUGGUUUAGCGAAAAGUCUGAGAGCCGAAGGAGGAGCCAACGGAUCCGCCAUGACUGCUCGUAAGAGAACUUCUUCGGUGGCUAAGUCAGAGAAUCCGCCGCCGGCGACGAAGGAGCAUAAACCCACCGUCGCUUCCGGCGAAGAUUUCCGUCUAGCACCGCCGAAGCUGGGCGUGAUCUUCGUGAUCUCUUCGAUUCUCUGCUCGCUCUACCUCUACCUUCUCUGUUUCCACUACAAUGUCGAUAAUGAGCUGAAGCGUCCGAUCCUCAUCAACGCUGGGCUUAGCUUGGUGGGGUUCUUCGUCACGCUCAAGUUGAUUCCGGUGGCUGCUAGAUAUGUU